rnacentral:lncRNA from 1 species
GGAACCUUGUUCGAUCCCAUCCCUGAACCUGAAAAUAUAUCUGUGGAGUUUAUUUAACAAACUGUUGCACACUGGGAUGAAGAGAUGAAAGCAUGAAGACCUGAGUUCAAAUCCUUAGAACCCCCCACCCAAAAUUGUGCCUAGUUGUUCAUGGCUAUAACCCAAUGGAGGGAGGCAGAAACAGGAGGAUUUCUGGGGCUUGAUGUGAAGCAGCCUAACAGCAGGCUCAGUAGAAGACCUCUGAUCUCUAGUACAUUCACAGACACACACACACACACACACACACACACACACACACACGUUAUACAUGCCAAGAAGUGAAGACACUUCUCCUACCAACAUCUACUCUUUGAUAGAGAGUUUCUGUCAACACACCUCAUACAGGCUGUGAUACAGUCCUUUGGUACCCAAUCCCCCAAAGUCCAGUCUCUAUCCUGAGAGAAACCUGUGCCUGGUUCUGCAGCAAUUCUACAUUAAAGACUUCCUUCCAAACACCAUGAUAGGAGUCUCCACCACCAAAGCAUCUACAGGUGUAAGGUGUUGGAAACUCCACCUCCGCCCUAGUGCUCUGAGGGCAAAUGGGGAGGGGGAUGCAGUAUGACAAGUACUUCAAAUGACAGCUCUGCACUCUAAUUCUCUAGCAGAAACAAAGGAGACAAGUCUAUGGUAAGUAUGGAUAAGAUAUGGACACAUUGUGGGGUAAGGGUUUUGGCAGGCUACGCUGAAGAUAUAACCUUUAUUCCUCUCACAAUUUCUCUGGGAAAAUCUGUCCAACUCAAAACAAUGAACCUACAAAUGAUCCUUAGGGGCAUAACUCAUCUGGAAGCUGGAGGCUGCGUUCACAAGCAUCUUCUGCCUGUCAGGCCCAAUAGAUCAGAGCAGGGAACAGCACUGAUUUACAGCCUUGGCCCUGUUGCCAAAUUCAUAAUUCAUAAUCCUAAUUCAUAGUCUUUAUCCUUAAAUUGAGAGCUAUAAUAUGUCUGCCCCAGAUACAAGGUGGUUUCUAAUGAGCAUGGCCAUUUUUGAAUGAGUGCCUUUCAAAAUCGACAGUACUAGUUCAUUUACUCCACCAUAUUAUGCAUUCUGAGUUCAUAGUAUUGAAUGUAGGAACUGUUUAUAGGAAUAUGAUUUCUGCGAUUAGUGCAAGUACCCCAAAAGAAACAUUAUAAGCUCCGUCUUUACUCGGUUUCCUUGUUUAUCUUGACCUAUAUAUGAUUUUCAGAAUAUUGGCAUUGCCCAAAAUCUUUCUAAAUUUAAGGGUGUUAAUUGAACAUAUUACAAUGCGCAUGUUAGCUGUACAUUUUAGAAUGCCUCAGAGCUGCUCUUAAGACAUGAAAAAUUGAUUUCUGCAACACUGGGUGCAAUAACAGGGUGGUACAAGCGCUUAAGACAAAUGUCC